AGUGAACGCUGGCGGUAGGCCUAACACAUGCAAGUCGAACGGCAGCACAGUAAGAGCUUGCUCUUACGGGUGGCGAGUGGCGGACGGGUGAGGAAUACAUCGGAAUCUACUUUUUCGUGGGGGAUAACGUAGGGAAACUUACGCUAAUACCGCAUACGACCUACGGGUGAAAGCAGGGGAUCUUCGGACCUUGCGCGAUUGAAUGAGCCGAUGUCGGAUUAGCUAGUUGGCGGGGUAAAGGCCCACCAAGGCGACGAUCCGUAGCUGGUCUGAGAGGAUGAUCAGCCACACUGGAACUGAGACACGGUCCAGACUCCUAAGGGAGGCAGCAGUGGGGAAUAUUGGACAAUGGGCGCAAGCCUGAUCCAGCCAUACCGCGUGGGUGAAGAAGGCCUUCGGGUUGUAAAGCCCUUUUGUUGGGAAAGAAAAGCAGCAGGUUAAUACCCCGCUGUUCUGACGGUACCCAAAGAAUAGGCACCGGCUAACUUCGUG
rnacentral:rRNA from 1 species